rnacentral:rRNA from 1 species
UGCGUAGGCGGAAUAGUAAGUCAGUGGUGAAAUCCUGCGGCUCAACCGUAGAACUGCCAUUGAUACUGCUAAUCUUGAGUGUAGUUGAGGUGGGCGGAAUGUGUAAUGUAGCGGUGAAAUGCAUAGAUAUUACACAGAACACCGAUUGCGAAGGCAGCUCACUAAACUAUUACUGACGCUGAGGCACGAAAGCGUGGGGAGCGAACAGGAUUAGAUACCCUGGUAGUCC